GCUUGUCUCAAAGAUUAAGCCAUGCAUGUCUAAGUAUAAAUGGUAUACAGUGAAACUGCGAAUGGCUCAUUAAAACAGUUAUAGUUUAUUUGGUAUUCGAAUUUACAUGGAUAACCGUGGUAAUUCUAGAGCUAAUACAUGCGAAAAGACCCGACUUUUGGAAGGGUUGUAUUUAUUAGAUACAAAACCAAUACGGAGCAAUCCGUUUCUUGGUGAUUCAUAAUAACUUUGCGGAUCGCAUGGCCUUGUGCCGGCGAUGAAUCAUUCAAAUUUCUGCCCUAUCAACUUUCGAUGGUAAGGUAUUGGCCUACCAUGGUUACCACGGGUAACGGGGAAUUAGGGUUCGGUUCCGGAGAGGGGGCCUGAGAAAUGGCCACCACAUCCAAGGAAGGCAGCAGG
rnacentral:rRNA from 1 species